AACGAACGCUGGCGGCAUGCCUAACACAUGCAAGUCGAACGAAGCCUUCGGGCUUAGUGGCGCACGGGUGCGUAACACGUGGGAAUCUGCCCUUUGGUUCGGAAUAACAGUUAGAAAUGACUGCUAAUACCGGAUAAUGACGUAAGUCCAAAGAUUUAUCGCCGAAGGAUGAGCCCGCGUAGGAUUAGGUAGUUGGUGGGGGUAAUGGCCCACCAAGCCGACGAUCCUUAGCUGGUCUGAGAGGAUGAUCAGCCACACUGGGACUGAGACACGGCCCAGACUCCUACGGGAGGCAGCAGUGGGGAAUAUUGGACAAUGGGCGAAAGCCUGAUCCAGCAAUGCCGCGUGAGUGAUGAAGGCCUUAGGGUUGUAAAGCUCUUUUACCAGGGAUGAUAAUGACAGUACCUGGAGAAUAAGCUCCGGCUAACUCCGUGCCAGCAGCCGCGGUAA
rnacentral:rRNA from 1 species